UACGUAGGGCGCGAGCGUUGUCCGGAAUUAUUGGGCGUAAAGAGCUCGUAGGCGGUCUGUCGCGUCUGCCGUGAAAACCCGAGGCUUAACCUCGGGCCUGCGGUGGAUACGGGCAGACUAGAGGUAGGUAGGGGAGAAUGGAAUUCCUGGUGUAGCGGUGAAAUGCGUAGAGAUCGGGAAGAACAUCAGUGGCGAAGGCGGUCUGCUGGGCCGUUGCUGACGCUGAGGCGCGACAGCGUGGGGAGCAAACAGG
rnacentral:rRNA from 1 species